AUGGAGGUAAUAUUUUCUGCUGCCAUUGGUGAGCUUGCCAGUAGAUCCAUAUCUUUCCUGCUGGACAGAUACUUGAAGCAGCGGACGGCUGCGACAACUGAGGAGGAGAGGCUGCACAGCCUGCAACGGCUCCUACUGCGGCUUCAUGUCGUCGUCGAGGAGGCAGAUGACCGGCUCAUCACAAACCAGGCCAUGCUGCGGCAACUCAGCAUACUGAAAAAGGAGAUGUACAGAGGAUAUUACACCCUCGACGUCUUCAGUUGCCGAGCUCAUGGAGAAGGAAAGACAAAAGAUCAUGAAGUCAACUACUCUUUUGCCCCAUCUAUGUUCAACCCUGCAAAGCGUGUAUGUUUCUGCAGAGGCAACAGUGAAGGUGCAACACAAGCUGAGCUGCUGGAGCAAGUUCUUGGCAGCAUAAGGAACACCAUUGAAGAUGUGGGCGAGUUCAUCAUGUUUCUAAACAGAUGUCCACGUUUGACCCGCCAACCCUACAACAUGUAUAUUCUGUUGAACAAGUGCAUGUUCGGACGCCAAAUGGAGAUGGAACAUAUUAUUCACUUCCUGUUGCAGGCGGAGACUGCUCCCGGUGCCGCUGGUAAUCCGGCUGUCCUGCCGCUCAUCGGUCCCGGAAAAGUUGGAAAGAGCACCCUGAUCGAGCAUGUGUGCGAUGAUGAAAGGGUGCGCAACCACUUCUUUCAGAUUUUGUGUUUCAGUGGAGAUGAUCUAAAAGAUGCAAGUGUAGAGACCCUAAAAGAUGGAGGUAGAAUCAAGCAUCAAAACCGUGGCAUGGGCGGUGGAAGGACAUUGAUCAUCAUUGAGCUAUUUCUGGAUAUCGACAAGUCUGAAUGGAAAAGGUUGUAUUCAGCUGCGAGAAGUUGCAUCGGAAAGGGCAGUAAGAUCAUAAUCAUGAGCCGGUCCGACAAGAUUGCAAACUUUGGAACCACAGUACCCCUCAGAUUACAGUUCUUUACUCAAGAAGCAUACUGGUACUUCUUCAAGGUGCAUGCUUUUGGGAGCACAAGCGCGGAGGACCACCCGAAGCUCGCAGCAAUGGCCAUGGAGAUGGCCAGGCUGAUGAAUGGGUGCUUCAUGGCUGCAACCAUUUUCAGUGGACUACUGAAAGCAAAUUUUAACCCCCGUUUCUGGAGCAUGGCUCUUGCAUUCCUCAGGAAUAUGAUACAGACAAAUUUUUCGCUGUAUGGUGAACAUUUCACUGAUCCUUGGCAGAUGGCAGAGCCGGUAUAUCUUAGGAGAGCAAAGGGAACUUCCUCUGAAUGCUUGGUGAUGUUUGGUGAGACAUGUUCUGCUGAAACCGGACCUGAAGAUCCUGAGAUGAUGAGCAUGCAAGAUCUUCUAUUUGGAAGUGUCAGGCCUCGUGGGAAAUUCAAGGUCCAUGCAUGGACAUCUCACCUGCCGCCUCACUACAACUACAUUGUUCACUGUGAGAUACGGAGGCCACAUCGCAUGGUUAUAAAGACCGACCGCUUUUAG
rnacentral:rRNA from 1 species